rnacentral:rRNA from 1 species
CCUACGGGGUGCAGCAGUGAGGAAUAUUGGUCAAUGGGCGCGAGCCUGAACCCGCCAAGUAGCGUGAAGGAUGACUGCCCUACGGGUUGUAAACUUCUUUUAUAAAGGAAUAAAGUGAGGCACGUGUGCCUUUUUGUAUGUACUUUAUGAAUAAGGAUCGGCUAACUCCGUGCCAGCAGCCGCGGUAAUACGGAGGACACGAGCGUUAUCCGGAUUUAUUGUGUUUAAAGGGAGCGUAGAUGGGUUGUUAAGUAAGUUGUGAAAGUUUGCGGCUCAACCGUAAAAUUGCAAUUGAUACUGGCAGCCUUGAGUACAGUUGAGGUAGGCGGAAUUCGUGGUGUAGCGGUGAAAUGCUGAGAUAGCACGAAGAACUCCGAUUGCGAAGGCAGCUUACUAAACUGCCACUGACAUUGAUGCUCGAAAGUGUGGGUAUCAAACAGGAUUAGAUACCCCUGUAGUC